UACGUAGGGGGCAAGCGUUGUCCGGAAUCAUUGGGCGUAAAGAGCGUGUAGGCGGCCUGGUAAGUCCGCUGUGAAAGUCCAGGGCUCAACCCUGGAAUGCCGGUGGAAACUGUCAGGCUCGAGUCCGGAAGAGGCGAGUGGAAUUCCUGGUGUAGCGGUGAAAUGCGCAGAUAUCAGGAGGAACACCAAUGGCGAAGGCAGCUCGCUGGGACGGUACUGACGCUGAGGCGCGAAGGCGUGGGGAGCGAACGGG
rnacentral:rRNA from 1 species